GACGAACGCUGGCGGCAUGCCUAACACAUGCAAGUCGAGCGAGUAGAUCCCUUCGGGGUGAAGCUAGCGGCGGACGGGUGAGUAACACGUGGGCAACCUGCCUCAUAGAGGGGAAUAGCCUUCCGAAAGGAAGAUUAAUACCGCAUAAGAUUGUAGCUUCGCAUGAAGCAGCAAUUAAAGGAGCAAUCCGCUAUGAGAUGGGCCCGCGGCGCAUUAGCUAGUUGGUGAGGUAACGGCUCACCAAGGCGACGAUGCGUAGCCGACCUGAGAGGGUGAUCGGCCACAUUGGGACUGAGACACGGCCCAGACUCCUACGGGAGGCAGCAGUGGGGAAUAUUGCACAAUGGGGGAAACCCUGAUGCAGCAAUGCCGCGUGAGUGAUGACGGCCUUCGGGUUGUAAAGCUCUGUCUUCGGGGACGAUAAUGACGGUACCCGAGGAGGAAGCCACGGCUAACUACGUGCCAGCCGCCGCAGUAA
rnacentral:rRNA from 1 species